UCUCUCUGUCUCUCCCUGUCUCUGUCUCUGUCUCUGUCUCUCCCUGUGUCUGUUUGUCUGUCUGUCUCUUUCUCUCUCUCUCUCUCCUCUCUGCCUUAAGUCUAUUCCUCAGUUGUGUAUUUUCCCCCUUGGACGACAUGUAGACACAAAAUCUCUGAUCUGUGCUUGAAGCUCUUUGCAAGUAUCUAAAAUUUGAAAGUCUGAUACUGCUUGCUGUCAAGUUAAAUGAAAUAAUGCAUUGAAAGCUUUUGAGCAACAGCACAAAACAACCAAUCAAUAAGCAGUGCUGUAACCAGCAUUAAUGUGGCUCAGGUUGACAGUGUAUGCAGGGCACUGAAGUACUGAAAAGGGAAUAAAACCACGGGGAACUUCUUAAAACUCUAAGAUGAAUCAGCGAAUUCUUACAAAUAGCUGUGUUUGUUGCUGUUCCCUCUGGUGCCUAAGAAAAUGAUAUUUUGAACUAGGAACUCUAUCUCUAGUUGUCUGGUAACAAUGAAAAAUAAAUUGUCCAAAAAUAAAGUGUCCAGAAAGGAAAUAAUUCCUAGGCUUCAGGAUAGAUUUACCUUCUUAAUUUUCCUACCUUUACUUACAACUCAAUGUACACAUUCAUGGUGUACAUCAUUUUAAGCACAUUUUUCAAGAGACAGUGUACAUAACAUUCCUAUCACAUAGUAGUAGCUGCUCAAUAAAUUAUGACUAAAGAGAGUGGCAUAGGGAAAUAACCAGAAACAUUAUGAGUUCAAAUAAGCAAAAGUGAUCACAACUUUAUUAGGCAACCCAGCAUUUAAACUCACUGGCUCAGGAAUCAGAGAAGCCAGUACUAAGAAAGCCUGUUAAUCUUUCCAGGAUUCAGGUUCCUCAUAUAUAAAAGAAAUAAUCCUAGUAUAUUAUUAAAAAGCUGGGAGACAUGACUAGAAUAAUAACUGACCUUUAGUGGAUGACUACUUUCCUAUAGGCAUGGUUCUAAAUGCUCAGAUUCUCAGAGAGUUCCCCUUAAGAGUAGGAAUUCUCAAUUGAGGAUCCCAUAUUUUGCAGCUGGAUCCAGUAUUCUUUGCCUACAGAUAUUUUUCUAAGUGCAUACCUAGAGCUUUUACAUUUGCAGAGAGGUCUGAAUCUCAAGAAUAGUUAGGAGUCACUGCCUUCCAGACUUAGCCAGAGGUUUUGAAGUCAAAAGACUUGUUAGAGAUCAGGUAGUGCAAGCCUCAGUUCCCAAACAUCUUGCAAGAAUAUCACCCACAGGCUGCCAAGGACAUAGAUCACUCCUGAAAAUUUCGGUGCAGGACAGUAGAAUGGUUUCCUCUAGGGCUUCCUGCCUACUAGGAAGCCAGGGAAACAACCCAUCCAACCUUCUCUUUUUAAAGGUGAGGAAAGCAGCCAGGACAGACAAAGAACCUUCCAUUCCACAUCUGACUAGGCACCUCUGUCCCUGUAAGUCAGGCUGUGAUCUCACCUGAUCACAGAAAGAUUGGCUGAAGAACCACCAAAUGCCAAAAGGAAAGUAAAACCUCAUGGCUUGGGAUGCCUUUUGUCAAAUGAACCCACAUUUUCAUCUGAUGUGUCACAAGAUGCCUAUUUCUGUUCAAUGUAUUAUGUACCAAAGACAAAUUACAAGACGUAGCCUGUCAUAAAUGCCAGAAUUAAACCUGCCACACAGACAUCACCGGUAAUUGCCUGAGCAGAUUAUCGCUUCCCUUCCACUUUGUCCCACUGGUGCUUCAGCUCUGUUCUUCCAAGGCAGAGCCCCAGCACAGUUCAGAGCUUGAAGGAACAAGAAACCUGCAGAAAGACUUGAAAGAACUUUACAUGCAGCCCUACCAUGCUGUAGAACUGUGCUCUGAACUGAUAUGUGCUUAAAUUUCUGCUUUCACAGGACUGCUUCCCCAUUUUAAACAAACAGGCUUCAGCCUAAAUAUUCAUCCGCCAUGUCUGUAGCUUACUGCGUAAGUCACUUUUAACAAGCUAAUAUCUGGAAAUCACAUCUCCCAAUUUCUUGGAGAAUAGUUUCAAGAAAGAACAUCUCACUGUUUGCUGUAUCCAUAUUAACCAUUUGGCACCUAUCCUUUCCAUUUUUAAUUGAUUAAGGCAAAGAGGCACACUGUCUGGUUCUCUCAUGCAAUUAGCCAAACCAAAGCAACAAAAAUAAGGGUGCUUCAUAUCCAUAUCAUGCGCAGUCAUAUGAUUCUACUGAGCCAAGUAGGAAAGACCCCUUGUUGAGGAACUUAAUUUAAAAAAACAAAAACAAAAACCCUGUGUGCUGCCACUGGUUGUUACUCAAAGGCUUCACACAGGUGUCUUCCCAUCAAAUUUCAGACCUGUACCUUAAUCCUGAGAAUCAAUGGGUUAAACAGGAAUAUGCAUGUCCCAGCCUCUCUCAAAAAGAUGCCAAUAAUCCUUCAACAUAUACAGGAUUUCAAAUCAUUAGAUAAAGAUGCCAAUACUCUGCAGUCUACCAUCAAAGUAAGUGACUCUCCCAAGCAGAAAGAAAUUCAGAAAUUCAACUUAUAGUCUGCUGACCUUUAAUUUAAUCAUACUUUUAAAAAGUUAAUGAUACUUUUUAAAAUCUGUAGCUAUCUGUUCUGAGUUGAAGAAACAAAUGUCAAUUUUUUUUUUCCGUUCUCAAUGGAAAGAAAUUUAAAACAUAUAUUCAUGUAAAGUAGAAGAAAAAACCAGGAGAGUUGAUUUUGUUCAUGUUGCACACAGGAGCUGCUGCUUGUCUGAGGCCUGAAAAAAGCUCAUCCCAACCCAAGCAUUCUGACAUUUUAAAUGAGAGAACAUGAGGAUGACUCAAAUAAGAAAAUAUGGACCAGCCAAAGUUUAAUUGAGUUUUAUUGUCCACUUUUUUAUAUCUCAAUUAUACAACAUGCAGUCUGCCGAGUAUCCAUACAUCUUCAUUUUAGAGCCUAGAAGAUAACCAAAAUUUUCCACAGGCCAGGGGAGGGUUAUUUUCAGGUCUUUUAUGACACACACUAUGGUAUCACAUUGUUACUUGAUACAAACUGCCAUUCUCCCCCAAAAACCACCAAAACAAGUUUGUCCACAAUUUUUUUCUUUAAAAUGAAAACUACUGUACAGAUACAUAAAACCCAGAGAACACACAUCUGCAGUACACAGGACACACUUUACAAACCAGACAUAUAUAAUUCUACAGAAUGCCCUAUUCCCCUUAAAUCUGCAAA